rnacentral:rRNA from 1 species
GACGAACCGUGCGAACGUUGUUCGGAAUCACUGGGCUUAAAGGGCGCGUAGGCGGGCCUUCAAGUCAGGGGUGAAAGCCCACGGCCCAACCGUGGAAGUGCCUUUGAUACUGAGGAUCUUGAGGGGGAUAGGGGCGUGCGGAACUUCGGGUGGAGCGGUGAAAUGCGUAGAUAUCGAGAGGAACACCUGCGGCGAAGGCGGGUUGCUGGGCUGAUACUGACGCUGAGGCGCGAAAGCCAGGGGAGCGAACGGG